rnacentral:rRNA from 1 species
GUGCAGCAGGCGCGAAAACUCCGCAAUGCGCGAAAGCGUGACGGGGUCACCCCGAGUGCCGUCCGCUGAGGAUGGCUUUUCUCUGCUGUAAGAAGGCAGAGGAAUAAGGAGAGGGCAAGUCUGGUGUCAGCCGCCGCGGUAAUACCAGCUCUCCGAGUGGUAGGGAUGAUUAUUGGGCUUAAAGCGUCCGUAGCUGGCCUUUCAAGUCUCUUGUUAAAUCCAGCGAUUCAAUCGUUGGACUGCGGGAGAUACUGUUAGGCUAGGGGGCGGGAGAAGCCGACGGUAUUUCCGGGGUAGGGGUAAAAUCCUAUAAUCCCGGGAAGACCACCAGUGGCGUAGGCGGUCGGCUAGCACGCGCUCGACAGUGAGGGACGAAAGCUGGGGGAGCGAACGGGAUUAGAUAUGAAGUUGAGUUUUUACCAGCUUCACUAGAUACCCCUGUAGUCC